GAAUUCACUAGUGAUUCAGGCCUAACACAUGCAAGUCGAGCGAACCCUUUGGAGUGAGCGGCGGACGGGUGAGUAACGCGUGGGUAACCUGCCCUGUACACACGGAUAACAUACCGAAAGGUAUGCUAAUACGAGAUAAUAUGUAAUGAUCGCAUGGUCGAUAUAUCAAAGCUCCGGCGGUACAGGAUGGACCCGCGUCUGAUUAGCUAGUUGGUGAGGUAAUGGCUCACCAAGGCGACGAUCAGUAGCCGACCUGAGAGGGUGAUCGGCCACAUUGGAACUGAGACACGGUCCAAACUCCUACGGGAGGCAGCAGUGGGGAAUAUUGCAAAGGGGGCGAAAGCCUGAUGCAGCAACGCCG
rnacentral:rRNA from 1 species